rnacentral:tRNA from 1 species
GUCCUGAUAGCUUAAAGAAAGCAUCGGUCUUGUAAGCCGAAGAUUGGGAACUAACCAUUUCCUCAUGACU